UCUCUCUCUCUCUCUCUCUCUCUCUUUCUGGCUAUAUAUAAAGUUAGCAACAUUGCUUCACAAGGCUCUUGUAGGUGUCUCCUUCAUACCCAUUUCAUGAACAGUUGAUUUGAGAUCUCAGAUAGCUAGCUAGUUUGAUUAGAGAGAUAGAAAAAGAGACAGAGAGAGAUGCCGCCGGGAUGGGGACCGCCGCCACCAGGACCGGGAGGACCUCCUCCUCCCUGUGGGUGUUUUGGGUUUCUGUGUGCUGGAAUAUGCCGACUUAUAUCUUCAUGUUUUUACGUGCUGUGUUGUUGCUGCAUCUUCCAAGAUUGCUGUGGUCCAUUUUUUGGUGGACCACCGGGUGGCGGUCCACCCGGCCCUCC